CCUACGGGUGGCAGCAGUGGGGAAUAUUGCACAAUGGGGGAAACCCUGAUGCAGCGACGCCGCGUGAGUGAAGAAGUAUUUCGGUAUGUAAAGCUCUAUCAGCAGGGAAGAAGAAAGACGGUACCUGACUAAGAAGCCCCGGCUAACUACGUGCCAGCAGCCGCGGUAAUACGUAGGGGGCAAGCGUUAUCCGGAUUUACUGGGUGUAAAGGGAGCGUAGACGGCUGUGCAAGUCUGAAGUGAAAGCCCAGGGCUCAACCCUGGGACUGCUUUGGAAACUGUGGAGCUAGAGUGCUGGAGAGGUAAGUGGAAUUCCUAGUGUAGCGGUGAAAUGCGUAGAUAUAUGGAAGAACACCAGUGGCGAAAGCGGCUCUAUGGUCUGUAACUGACGCUGAGGUUCGAAAGCGUGGGUAGCAAACAGGAUUAGAUACCCUAGUAGUC
rnacentral:rRNA from 1 species